UCCCUGGUGGCUCAGAGGUUAAAGCGUCUGCCUCCAAUGCAGGAGACCCGGGUUCGAUCCCUGGAUCGGGAA
rfam:TPA: Bos taurus chromosome 5, whole genome shotgun sequence.